GGACCCUUAGUUCAGUGGUAGAAUGCCGGAUUCCAAAAAUCCACUACGAUCAGUAGUUUGCUAUCCGUCGGUCGUCUGUUCGAUCCAGGCAGGGUUCA